rnacentral:rRNA from 1 species
GAUGAACGCUGGCGGCGUGCUUAACACAUGCAAGUCGAGCGAGAAGUUUUGAAAAGAUUCUUCGGAUGAAAUUUAAAAUGGAAAGCGGCGGACGGGUGAGUAACGCGUAGGCAACCUGCCCCAUACAAAGGGAUAGCAUUUGGAAACGAAUAUUAAUACCUUAUGAAACUUAACUAGUGCAUGCUAGGUAGGUCAAAGAUUUAUCGGUAUGGGAUGGGCCUGCGUCUGAUUAGCUAGUUGGUGAGGUAACGGCUCACCAAGGCGACGAUCAGUAGCCGACCUGAGAGGGUGAACGGCCACAUUGGAACUGAGACACGGUCCAAACUCCUACGGGAGGCAGCAGUGGGGAAUAUUGCACAAUGGGGGAAACCCUGAUGCAGCAACGCCGCGUGAACGAUGAAGGCCUUUGGGGCGUAAAGUUCAGUUCUAGGUGAUGAAAACUGACAGUAACCUAGGAGAAAGCCCCGGCUAACUCCGUG